rnacentral:rRNA from 1 species
UACGAAGGGGGCUAGCGUUGCUCGGAAUUACUGGGCGUAAAGCGCACGUAGGCGGCUUUCUAAGUCGGGGGUGAAAUCCUGGAGCUCAACUCCAGAACUGCCUUCGAUACUGGAGAGCUCGAGUCCGGGAGAGGUGAGUGGAACUGCGAGUGUAGAGGUGAAAUUCGUAGAUAUUCGCAAGAACACCAGUGGCGAAGGCGGCUCACUGGCUCGUAACUGACGCUCAUGCACGACAGCGUGGGGAGCAAACAGG